rnacentral:lncRNA from 1 species
GGGAACGGGAGUGCAGUGAGGGGACACGGGAGUGCAGUGAGGGGAACUCAGAAAAUGGGAGUUCAGUCUGGAGAACUCAGAAAAUCGGGAGUUCAGUCUGGGGAACCCAGGAAAUCGGGAUUGCAGUAAAGGGAACUCAGAAAAUCGGGAUUGCAGUAAGGAGAACUCAGAAAAUGGGAUUUCAGUCAGGGGAUUGGGAUGGGGAACACAGAAAAUGGGAGUUCACUCAGGGGAACACAGGAAACGGGAGUUCAAUCAGGGGAUUGGGGUGGGGAACCCAGAAAAUGGGAUUUCAGUGAGGGGAACCUGGGAAAUUGGGAUUGCAGUAAGGGGAAUGGUGGGGGGAACCCAGAAACUGGGAUUUCAGUAACAGGAAUUAGGGAAAUUGGGAUUCCAGUAUGGAAUGGGGCAUGGGGCACCCAGGAAAAUUGGGAUUUCAGUAAGGGGUAUCCAGAAAAUUGGUAUUUCAGCCUAGGGAAUGGCGUGGGAAACCCAAAAAAUGGGAUUUCAGACUGGGGAACAGCAAGGGGAACCCACACAAUCAGGAUUUCAGCCUGGGUUUCCCAUACAAUGAGGAUUUUAACCCAGGUUCCCCACACAAUCGGGAUUUCAGCCUGGGUUUCCCAUACAAUGAGGAUUUUAACCCAGGUUCCCCGCACAAUCACCAUUUCAGCCCGGGAACGCCCUGUAGGCGCCCGGGGGCGCACACACACACACACACACACACACACACACACACACACACACACACACCCCCAGCAGGCACUCACCCCCCCCCCCCCCCCCCCCCCCCCCCCCCCCCCCCCCCCCCCCCCCCCCCCCCCCCCCCCCCCCCCCCCCCCCCCCCCCCCCCCCCCCCCCCCCCCCCCCCCCCCCCCCCCCCCCCCC